rnacentral:rRNA from 1 species
UGUCGAUUUGGAGGUUGUGCCCUUGAGGCGUGGCUUCCGGAGCUAACGCGUUAAAUCGACCGCCUGGGGAGUACGGCCGCAAGGUUAAAACUCAAAUGAAUUGACGGGGGCCCGCACAAGCGGUGGAGCAUGUGGUUUAAUUCGAUGCAACGCGAAGAACCUUACCUACUCUUGACAUCCAGAGAAUUCGCUAGAGAUAGCUUAGUGCCUUCGGGAACUCUGAGACAGGUGCUGCAUGGCUGUCGUCAGCUCGUGUUGUGAAAUGUUGGGUUAAGUCCCGCAACGAGCGCAACCCUUAUCCUUUGUUGCCAGCGAUUCGGUCGGGAACUCAAAGGAGACUGCCGGUGAUAAACCGGAGGAAGGUGGGGAUGACGUCAAGUCAUCAUGGCCCUUACGAGUAGGGCUACACACGUGCUACAAUGGCGUAUACAAAGAGAAGCGAACUCGCGAGAGCAAGCGGACCUCAUAAAGUACGUCGUAGUCCGGAUUGGAGUCUGCAACUCGACUCCAUGAAGUCGGAAUCGCUAGUAAUCGUAGAUCAGAAUGCUACGGUGAAUACGUUCCCGGGCCUUGCACUCACCGCCCGUCA